rnacentral:lncRNA from 1 species
UGCCGAGCGCCAGACAGGGUAACAACAAGUACCAUCUUUUUACGUCUUUUGGUAUGACGCGGUCGGGGAUCGAACCCCGGACCUUCCGCUCUCCGGGCGGACGCUCUACCACUAGACUCAGCUGGUUAUGAAUUGUUGAAAUUCAAGGUAUAACUUUUGACUGUUUGUAUGAUAUAAAUAUUGUCACUUGUCACAUUCACUGCAUUGUUCAUCACCCUAUUUCUUCCUUGUUUUUGUCAGCAGUGGGUGCUUAUCAUCGUCAAUACUUCAUGGGUUUGUAUUCACUGCAUUCCUUCAUAAUCAAAUCAUAAAAUCAAGCUGUGUAUAAGUCUCCGAAGUGAAAUGAGCGAACUGUUGAUAUUGAAGAAACGUGAAGAGUAGAUAACAUUAAGGUUGUGGCAGGAGAAAUCUUAUUUGAUGUAGCAGGAUCACGAGGGGUACAUGGGGUUUUAUGCGUGCGGCUUUUUGCUUUGAAGCGGAAAUAAAGGAUUUAUUCUGUCUCUCAGAAAUACACGUGCAGCCUGUUCUGCUUGUGGCAGGGUGUUAGAGAUUUAUUCCCCCACUGAGAAAUUUAUUACCCCCCAAGGCGGGUUACACAGUAUUUUAUCAAGAUCACGUGGACCAAUCAGAUCUCAUCAUUCUGACAUGGAGAUAUGAUAAUGCAUUUUGUCUGAUGUAGUGUGAGGGCUAAAUGGUCUGAGUAUUCUCUUGAACCAGGCCGUGACUUGAAUAGUUGCUUAAGAUAACAACUACACUCCUACAGCUGAUGGGUCACUGGAUUAUUCCCUCAUUUUGGAAUUUUGUGAUAGUCCACGAUCGGUUUAUGGCAUUCAAAAACGUAGCUGUUGUUUUAAAAAUUCCAAAAUCAGUACAGUUAGAUAUGGUAUGAGUACAAAACGCCAUGGCACUGUAAAUCUGGGUACAACUCAAUUUAAUCUUUUUGUACCCAGGGUAUAUUUUGAUGGUAAACCGAUCGAGAGUGAUGCUAUCAGCACUACUACACUUCAUGGGUAAUGGAGGAACAUAAUGUGUACAAACCUGUUUGGACAAUGGAUGUUGAUGUCAAUAAAAUAUUUGCUCAACUGGUGCCAAUGACUAAGUUUCUAAAUGGGAGAAAAUAAGUAGAUUAAGGAAAGUAAUGUUGGCAUAAUUAUUGACUGAAAUUGGUAUAAACUCAUCAUCUGGAACAAGAAUUUAUAUCAACCUUUUAUGAACUGUGAUGAGUCAAGUUAAUGCAAUGGCAGUAGAACUAUUUUUCCUCUAUCAGCACCUCUGAAUUGGAUAUUGUUUAAUCUGUGAGUCCAAACUUUUUUUAAAAAUCUUGUUCAGUUUAUGAUUCAGAGCCUCCAAAAAAUUGAAAUUAAAAAAAAAGAGUAGUAGUAGGUUUUUUUUUAUAUUUCGUUGACCCAGACACAAAGCAUUUCAGCACUAGCCCACUAGCCCCAACCAGUUUUGUUAAUGUUAAUUGUGCCCUAAGGGCAAGUAGAAUUUCAAACACUAUUCGGCCUUGUAAACCUUCUUGGUUAAUUUACAUUCUUGCCAUUUACUGUGGCUAUCAAUAUAAAAAACUGUAAUACUAUAAUUAAAACUUGUUAAACAUUUAUUUUAGAUAUGUCACAAGAGGAAAUAAAAACAAAUAUUUAAAAUUUGAUUUAUUUAUCUUUAAGUUAAUUGUUAUUUUUUUCGACCUACCAACUGGAAUUUUUGGGCAUAACACCCACACCUUCACCCACCCUCACAAGUUUUUGUAAAAACAAUAUGGUUAGUUUAUUUGAGAAUAUGAUCAUGAAAUCAUAGAAGACAAUUCCUGAAAUUGUAUGAUGAUGGAUGUGUAAGAAAAGGUUAAGGAGACUAAUUACUAUCAAACUAGAUAACCGAAUGUUUACCCUAUGGUCGUACUCUUCCGCCAUAAGAUCUUCCUUGCUCAGAUUUUUUGGAGAUUCUUUCUCUGCUUGCCUUCUGUGAUGGUGCUUACUUGCUGUGAUUUCUCUUCCUUCUGUGAGGCCCUCACUAUUUGCUAGUGCCUGGAUAGUUUUGGCUUCUACUCUCUAGUGCCUGGAUAGUGUAGGCCUCUACUGUCUUGUGUGUGGAUAGUGUUGGCCUCUACUCUCUAGUGCAUGAAUAGUGUAGGCCCUACUCUUGUGCCUGGAUGGUGUAGGCCACUACUCUCUAGAGCUUGGAUAGUGAAGGCCUUAUUACUCUCUUGUGCCUGAAUAGUGUAGGCCUCUACUCUAGUGCCUGGAUAGUGUAGGCCUCUACUCUUGUGCCUGGAUAGUGUAGGCCUCUACUCUAGUGCCUGGAUAGUGUAGGCUUUUUUACUCUCUUGUGCCUGGAUAGUGUUGGCCUCUACUCUCUAGUGCAUGGAUAGUGUAGGCCUCUACCCUAGUGCCUGAAUAGUGUUGGCCGCUACUGUCUUGUGUGUGGAUAGUCUUGGCCUCUACUCUCUUGUGCCUGGUUAGUGUAGGCCCUACUCUUGUGCUUGGAUAGUGUAGGCCUCUACUCUCUAGUGCCUGGAUAGUGUAGGCCUCUACUCUAGUGCCUGGAUAGUGUAGGCCCUACUCUAGUGCCUGGAUAGUGUAGGCUUUAUUACUCUCUUGUGCCUGGAUAGUGUUGGCCUCUACUCUCUAGUGCAUGGAUAGUGUAGGCCUCUGCCCUAGUGCCUGAAUAGUGUUGGCCGCUACUGUCUUGUGUGUGGAUAGUCUUGGCCUCUACUCUCUAGUGCCUGGAUAGUGUAGGCCUCUACUCUAGUGCCUGGAUAGUGUAGGCCCUACUCUUGUGCCUGGAUAGUGUUGGCCUCUACCCUCUAUAGCAUGGAUAGUGUAGGCCUCUACUCUGGUGCCUGGAUAGUGCAGGCCUUAUUACACUACUGUCUGGAUGGUGUAGGCCACUACUCUCUAGUGCCUGGAUAGUGUUGGCCUCUACUCUCUAAUGCAUGGAUAGUUUAGGCCCUACUCUCUAGUGCAUGGAUAGUGUAGGCCUUAUUACUUUCUUGUGCCUGGAUACUGUUGGCCUCUUCUCUCUAGUGCAUGGAUAGUGUAGGCCCUACUCUCUAGUGCCUGGAUAGUGUAGGCAUCUACUGUCUUGUGUGUGGAUAGUGUUGGCCUUUACUCUCUAGUGCAUGGAUAGUGUAGGCCUCUACUCUUGUGCCUGGAUAGUGUAGGCCUCUACUCUAGUGCCUGGAUAGUGUAGGCUUUUUUACUCUCUUGUGCCUGGAUAGUGUUGGCCUCUACUCUCUAGUGCAUGGAUAGUGUAGGCCUCUACCCUAGUGCCUGAAUAGUGUUGGCCGCUACUGUCUUGUGUGUGGAUAGUCUUGGCCUCUACUCUCUUGUGCCUGGUUAGUGUAGGCCCUACUCUUGUGCUUGGAUAGUGUAGGCCUCUACUCUCUAGUGCCUGGAUAGUGUAGGCCUCUACUCUAGUGCCUGGAUAGUGUAGGCCCUACUCUAGUGCCUGGAUAGUGUAGGCUUUAUUACUCUCUUGUGCCUGGAUAGUGUUGGCCUCUACUCUCUAGUGCAUGGAUAGUGUAGGCCUCUGCCCUAGUGCCUGAAUAGUGUUGGCCGCUACUGUCUUGUGUGUGGAUAGUCUUGGCCUCUACUCUCUAGUGCCUGGAUAGUGUAGGCCUCUACUCUAGUGCCUGGAUAGUGUAGGCCCUACUCUUGUGCCUGGAUAGUGUUGGCCUCUACCCUCUAUAGCAUGGAUAGUGUAGGCCUCUACUCUGGUGCCUGGAUAGUGCAGGCCUUAUUACACUACUGUCUGGAUGGUGUAGGCCACUACUCUCUAGUGCCUGGAUAGUGUUGGCCUCUACUCUCUAGUGCAUGGAUAGUUUAGGCCCUACUCUCUAGUGCAUGGAUAGUGUAGGCCUUAUUACUUUCUUGUGCCUGGAUACUGUUGGCCUCUUCUCUCUAGUGCAUGGAUAGUGUAGGCCCUACUCUCUAGUGCAUGGAUAGUGUAGGCAUCUACUGUCUUGUGUGUGGAUAGUGUUGGCCUUUACUCUCUAGUGCAUGGAUAGUGUAGGCCCCACUCUUGUGCCUGGAUGGUGUAGGCCACCCUCUCUUGUGCCUGGAUAGUGUAGGCCUUAUUACUCUCUUGUGCCUGGAUAGUGUAGGCCUCUACUCUAGUGCCUGGAUAGUGUAGGCCUUAUUACGCUCUUGUACCUGGAUAGUGUUGGCCUCUACUUUCUAGUGCCUGGAUAGUGUAGGCCUCUACUCCAGUGCCUGGAUAGUGUUGGCCUCUACUCUCUAGUGUCUGGAUAGUGUAGGGCUUAUUAGUCUCUUGUGCCUGGAUAGUGUAGGCCUCUACUCUCAAGUGCCUGGGUAGUGUAGGCCUCUACUCUCGUGCCUGGAUAGUGCAGGCCUUAUUACACAACUGUCUGGAUGGUGUAGGCCACUACUCUCUAGUGCCUGAAUAGUGUUGGCUUCUACUCUCCAGUGCCUGGAUAGUUUAGGCCCUACUCUCUAGUGCCUGGGUAGUGUUGGCCUCUACUCUCUAGUGCCUGGAUAGUUUAGGCCCCAUGCUUGUGCCUGGAUGGUGUAGGCCACCCUCUCUAGUGCCUGGAUAGUGUAGGCCUUAUUACUCUCUUGUCCCUGGAUACUGUUGGCCUCUACUCUCUAGUGCCUGGAUAGUGUUGGCCUCUACUCUCUAGUGCCUGGAUAGUUUAGGCCCCAUGCUUGUGCCUGGAUGGUGUAGGCCACCCUCUCUAGUGCCUGGAUAGUGUAGGCCUUAUUACUCUCUUGUGCCUGGAUAGUUUAGGCCCUACUCUCUAGUGCCUGGGUAGUGUUGGCCUCUACUCUCUAGUGCCUGGAUAGUUUAGGCCUUAUUACACUCUAGUGCUUUGAUAGUGUAGGCCUUAUUACUCUCUUGUGCCUUGAUAGUGUAGGCCUUAUUACGCUCUUGUACCUUGAUAGUGUUGGCCUCUACUUUCUAGUGCCUGGAUAGUGUAGGCCUCUACUCUUUAGUGCCUGGAUAGUGUAGGCCUUAUUACUCUCUUGUGCCUGGAUACUGUUGGCCUCUACUCUCUAGUGCCUGGAUAGUGUAGGCCUCUACUCUCGUGCCGGGAUAGUGUAUGAUUGAUAAAGCUAUAGUGCCUGAAUAGUGUAGGCCUUAUUACUCUCUUGUGCCUGGAUAGUGUAGGCCUCUACUCUUGUGCCUGGAUAGUGUAGGCUACACUACUCUGUUGUGCCUGGAUAGUAUCUGCAGCAUAUGUGCCUAGAUAGUCUAGGUUCUCUUGUGCCUGUAAUCCACCUUAAGUUGGUUCUUUGAGUGGUAUGAUAUUGCCUUCUAGAAACAAUUAUAUCCCAUUCAAGGAGUAAGACAGUAGUGUCACUUACUGAUUUUAUGACCCUUAGUUCAAUACUCUUGACAACAAGAUAUGGAAAUGCUCUGUUUGAAAGGCACAGUUAAUUACAUGCAUGUUGGAAGGGACUAGAUCAGACACAGGUACUAAGGGUGAAACGAUACAUCGGUGAUACCCAUGACGAUCCAGGGUAGCAUAGGUUUUCAGCAACCCAUUCUUGCCAUAAAAGGCAACUAUGCUUGUCCUAAGAGGCGAUGAAUGGGAUCAGGUGGUCAGGCUCGCUUGCAUGAAGCAUGUCAUCGAUCCCAAUUGCGUGGCUUGAUGCUCAUGAUUUCAAUCACUGGAUUGUCUGGUCCAGACUCGAUUAUUUACAGACCGCCAUCAUAUUGCUGAGUGCGGCGUAAAACAACAAACCAAACAACAAAAAACACUGCUACAGGUUAAAAAUUAUUCAAAUUGGAUAUAGAUCUGGUUUGUAUAUAGAUCUGGUUUGUAUCAGUUUGCUACUCUAACCGUAAUAGUUCAUCAGAUCCAUCAGAUCAUGCUGUGUAAUGUGACUGGUUAUUAUAUGGGUACCAGUAAAUAGUAUUACUAUGAUUAGUAACUAGAUUUUUAUUAAGUUAAUCUAAAUAUUUAAAUGUCUGUUGACUUUGAAUCUCUAUCAUUGAACUGUUAUUUUUUGUGAAUAUCCUAAAUUAUAUUUUUUUGUACAGAAUUUAGAUUUCAGGAUGAAAUGUUAUUGGAUCACUGUCAAUUUCUAUGGUGCUAUUUGUAACACUGAAUACUUGCAUUCCAUAAUACCAUUCGGCUCUUCUGGUAUCAUAGAGAAGUAAGUGAUAUGUUAUAGAGUAUCUUAGUGGGAACAAUUUUAAGUAAUCUGAAUGAUUAAUUCAACAAGUCAAAAUUGUUGAUGUAAACUCUACAAGACUCAAAUUCCUUCCUAACUUGUUCUAGAACAUCAACAUUAUUUGAAAAUCAAAUUUGCUGAAUUCUUUUUUCAAACAAAAUGGAAAGAGAUCUGAAUUUUUGUGUCACCUUUGGCAAUGGAAUAAGAACCAUACUAGUACACUCUUCAUCAGAUGGAUUGUAUUAGAAUGAUUUGUAUAAACAUUGCUGGGGUAGGAUUGACUAAAUAGAUCGGGUGGUCAGGCUUGGUGACUUGGCUGAUUUGCGUGUCAUUGUUUCCCAAUUGUCUGAUUGAGAGUUGAUUAUUUUAAAUACAGACCGCUGUCAUAUAGCUGGAGGGGGACGCAAUUCACUGUGCAGAGUUGCGUCCCUUGGGCACGCCAGAAACCUUUGAUUGUGGGUUCGAAUCCUGGUUCACCCCGAUUAUGUUUCUAGGUUUGUCAGCACCAUACCCAUCCUUGUGGGUUACACCACUUUAAGCUGACACGCCACGAUAUAACUGGAAUACUGUUAAAAGCAGCGUUUAAACCCAACUCACUGACUCAUAUAGCUGGAAUGUUGCUGAGUGCGGUGUUAUAAAAGAAUAGUAAUUAAAAAAAGGCAAUGCUCGGAGAUCUCUUCCACUUAAGGCAAGUCCAACUCAUUUCAUGUUUCAUGGGGUAUUUUCUCAGUAUGCCAGAAGGUCGGAGCUGUAUCGGAAGAUAAGACAAUGCUGUUAAGUAUGUAUGACGUUUAAGAAUUUCCGAAACAAAAUCUUGAAAUUAGUUUUGACAAAAUUUUGAUAAUUCAUUGUUUUCAAUCAUACAAGGCAUAGUGUAGUUUUGUUAACUUUAGGUCUCACCUAAAUUUACCAGAAAAGAAUUUUGCUGAUAACCAAGAAAUGUCAUUUCAUUUCUGCAACAUUUUAUGAAAAUAAAAAGUUGGCAGUGACAUUUGUUUCAUAAGAUCUCCAGUAAAAGGAAUGCAGUUUAACAAACCACCUUGUUUAAGUACAUGUCACAUCUUUGAACUAUCUGCUAAAUCUCACAGUAUGUUGACCCUGCUACAAACACAACAUUUAUUAGGUCAGGUAGCUCAAAUAUUGCCCAUUUAUUGUUUUUAUCAAAUGGGCAUCAUUGGGUUGGAAGUUUACAUUGACAUAGAGAAUGUUUGGUAAAGAUGUGCAUUCCAACUAAAAUGACAAUGAUAAAACUGUUGUUACAAUUCUUCCUUUGCCAAUGCUUUCUCUAAGUUUCAUAUUGUGAUCCUUUUGUUGUUGAAUGUUAAUUUACAUGUUAAAAUCGAAAGAUGUUACCUUCUGAAGAUACUCAAGUCUUGUAUGUGAAUUGCAUUUUUGCUAGUCUUGUUUAUGUGAUGGAACAAUUUGUAGGUUCAAUGUGGGAACAGGUUUUGCAUUACAUCGGAUAUGUUGUGAUAUGGCAACAAUAUUGUUGACGGGCAUGAAACAAAGUUAAUAAAUAUCUUUUGGGAAGCUUUUGAUUGAUACAGCUUUUCCACUUGACAACAAACAAGAGCAAGAGCCUGUUCAAAUGACUGAUAUGAACAACUAUAGUUUAGAAAUGAAAUAAACACUGACAGACUACUAGCUGACCAUAAACACUGACUGGUGAAAUCCCUAGCAGGGAUGUUAAUACGUUUGCACUAUGUUCAUUGUGUAGCAUCUUCCCAAGGCAAGGGAGUUCACUGACUGUAAAAGUCUAGUUUCCACCCUUGCCAAACAAGGCUGGAAUUUCGUGACUCGAGUGUAGCACCACCAGUGGCUAUUACAAAUUAUGUCCCUUCUGUGUCGAUCCUAUUGACCAAUCAAAUUCCACAUCUCAUAUUACUUGCAUUUGCUUCAAACAAAAUGGCGGUGCCCAGUGAAGACAAUCUGAUCGGUAAUCAAGAUCUAUAUUGAAGUAAGAUAGGUCUUACUUGGCAAAGUGCAUCAAAUCAAGUAGAACCUUGAUUGAAAACAUAAAACAAUUUGGAAAAUAUCUGUUGGUGUAAGUUGACAGUACACAUGCUAUGCAAAUCCUGCAAUUGACCAAAAUCUGCACAUUAGUUUACGAACCGGAUGUCAAUUUUGUUUGAUUGGACUGUGCAUAGAUUCAUUAGUCCAGCAAAAUAAUAACUUCAUAAUUCUACCUAGUUCGGCAAGGGUGGAAACUGGACUUUUAUAGUCAGUUAACUUCCUUGCCUCAGGAAGAUGUUUUGUAGGAACAUUGUGUAUGAGUUCAUAUGCCCAGUCAUGAAUAGAUACAGAACUUGUUUUUCAUUCAGACACUUUAACCUUGUUCAGGGUUUUGGCAUGUCUGCUGAGUAUCGCCAGAGUUGCCCACUGAUUCCCGAAUUAACCUGUUCCACUAGAAAUAAGGACUUGCACAAAACGAUCUUAGUGCUAAGACUAUCGUAAGCCUAUGUUAAAGUAUGGGAGUUAAGAUCAUCUUAGCGCUAAGAUUGCUUUGUGCAAGUGGGCCCUUGUUUGAGUAGUGGAUAAAGUGUAACCCUGCUAAGCCGCACUUAAUUGUCAAUAUGUUUUCUGUAGUAACGAUUCAUGACUGGAGCAAUGUCUGCUUGUAUGUAUGUAGAUGCUUCCAACAGUAAUUAUCUGGAAUACUUGUUCUUCAAAGUAACAGCGUUAUACUGCAUUGAAUCCUACAUCAGUUGGAGAAUGUGGAGAACCCAAAGUUAGAAGUCACUCUUUACAAUUCAAGUUGUUGAAUUUUUUUCUCCAGAUAUGUUUGUUACAAUUUCCAGGUUUUGGAUUCCAUCAAAUGCUUCUUUGUUCUGUAUGUUGUAUGUUAAGGUUGUGAUUCCACUUGUUUGUUUAAUAUUGUCAUCCUUAUCCAAAUGUUUAUGUCUAAGCUGCCAGGCAUAAAUGUUGUGUCCCAGAAAUAAAACUCUCUGAAAAACU